rnacentral:rRNA from 1 species
UGACCCGUCCUGAAACACGGACCAAGGAGUCUAACAUGUGCGCGAGUCACAGGGUCUACCGAAACCCGAAGGCGCAAUGAAAGUAAAGGGGGAGCUCGCCUCCCCCGCGAAGGCAAGAUCCCGAGCUUCGGCGAGGGCGCACUGCCGGCCCGUCUCAACGCGGCAUCGUCCGCGAGGCGGAGCUAGAGCGCACACGUUGGGACCCGAAAGAUGGUGAACUAUGCCUGAGUAGGACGAAGUCAGGGGAAACUCUGAUGGAGGUCCGUAGCGAUUCUGACGUGCAAAUCGAUCGUCAAACUUUGGUAUAGGGGCGAAAGACUAAUCGAACCAUCUAGUAGCUGGUUCCCUCCGAAGUUUCCCUCAGGAUAGCUGGCACUAUUCGCUGCAGUUUUAUCCGGUAAAGCGAAUGAUUAGAGGCAUUGGGGACGAACUGACCUCAACCUAUUCUCAAACUUUAAAUGGGUCAGAAGCCCGACUCGCUCGAGUGGAGUCGCGGCAUGGAAUGCAAAGUGCCAAGUGGGCCACUUUUGGUAAGCAGAACUGGCGCUGUGGGA